rnacentral:rRNA from 1 species
UACGUAGGGGGCAAGCGUUGUCCGGAUUUAUUGGGCGUAAAGAGCGUGUAGGCGGUUUGGUAGGUCCGCUGUGAAAACUCGAGGCUCAACCUCGAGACGCCGGUGGAAACCAUCAGACUAGAGUCCGGAAGAGGAGAGUGGAAUUCCUGGUGUAGCGGUGAAAUGCGCAGAUAUCAGGAAGAACACCCGUGGCUAAGGCGGCUCUCUGGACCGAGACUGACGCUGAGGCGCGAAAGCGUGGGGAGCAAACAGG